UUUCAGAAGGACGCUCAACCCGACAAGCCACUUGUGUCGUCUUAUACGUCCCAAAGCCUGUUUUUGUUUUCUUUUUUCCUCCUCCGUCUCUGUUCGCCUCCCGGUUCCACCCAGCCUGACCUAAUCAGCGAUAAGUUGAGUGCUUUCGUCAACAGAGCAGACCCCUUCAAUUAGCGGCGCAUCGCUAUAAGCUCAUGUGUAAGCAUUGCUGUGAAAUUGCAUGUGCGUGCAUGCAUGCGGCCAGCCUCCGGAGUGACCUCGACUCCCUCCAGUUACUCAGCUAAUAAGUCGGUGACUGAACUCGGCCUCCUGCAUAUCCAGAUGGAGAGGUUUAAUGGGUAUUAAAGGUGGAGAGGCUGAGCAGAUACAGGAGGAUAACUUAAAGCUGCCGACAGGGCCAGCCAAGCCCGCGAGAGGACAAAUGAGUCCCGCAGUUUAGACGGCGUGUGAUUCCGGCAGAAUUCCGCCUCCACGCAUUUCUCCAUUCCUUCUCCUGUAAUGAAACACAUUAUAGUCAUCAAGGCCAGCGUCAGUACCACUGACACAAGUGAUCAGACAGACUUCUGCAUGCCAGGAACCCAACCCAGUCAACUUGAUCGAAGCUAAAACGCAGCAAAGCCAGCAAUUUGUCACAAACAAAAACCCGCAUGCACACAUGGACUAUUUCACAAUGACAGAAGCAGAGCUUUAUCUCAACACACACACACACACACACACACACACACACGGGCAGAUUCUGGAGAAGGCAGACAUUCCGAGCGUCCCGGCCAAAGAUUCCUUGCCAUCCACAUGUCCAAUGCAGGAAUCCCCCUCUCUCCAGGUCUCCCCGUGUCUGCCAGCCAUAAAAGUGAGGAGACAGACAACACUCCAGCAAUUUGUGUGUUUCCCAAUGCUUACUCCCAGUGAGCAGAUUGUUUUGUUGCCUAUUUUGUGUCUUCAUGCACAUUUAAAUGUUUAUUUGUCUGUAGCAUGCUUGAUCAAAGGACACAGAAUUCAAGCUUGUGGAAAUGAAACGUGUCACAAGCUCAAAGUUGAACGCACUUUUAAACAUUUUUAUUUACAUCUGCAUUUGAAUCUUUAGCUGUGUUUAUUAGAAAAAUAAUUGUGUUACAUGUACAAUAAGGAACUUGGACAUGCAGUUCAAAUUUCAUCCUACAUGUUAGAUCUGUCUCAAGACUCCAUUUAACUUUCUAGCAACACGAUUUCACCGAAGAUGGAAAGAAAAUCACAAGAAAAGGGCACAAAACUGGAGGCAAACUUUCCUUCCUUCCUUCCUCCUCUCUUCCCAGCAGUAGAUCCACUGUAACUGGUAGAAGCUGUAAUUAAUCGGAGUGCAAUUUGCUGCUGUUGACCUUUUCGAAGGUGAUCGUCACAACGACUCGCGCGUUAAUUCGACAGCCGUCGGCUCUUCGGCUGCCGGCAGCGCAAUCAUCGCACAAAUCGCUCGCUUGCAUUUACACGCGGGAGAAAGACUGGGGGACCAAACAGAAAAACAACUUCUGGCUCCUGCGCACGCGCGCGGCUUCGGCUUGGAGUUCUGCUGUGAUAAAUGGGGGGAAAAGAACCUGUAAUAUCGAAACCUCACAUACAAUUUACCGCGGUCUCAGACGAUCUGCUUCUGUCUGUCACGCAAAUGCCCCAGUCCGCUGUAAAAUAUCCUCU